GGUCCCUUCGUCUAUCGGUUAGGACAGCUGGUUUUCAUCCUGCAAAGGGGAGUUCGAUUCUCCCAGGGACCGCCA
rnacentral:tRNA from 1 species